UUGGCAUCUGAUGGGCUGAAA
rnacentral:siRNA from 1 species